rnacentral:lncRNA from 13 species
CACAAUUACAAUUUCAAAAUAGUAUUUUUGGCUCUAUCUUCACCUAUUUUGUGGGAACUCCAGUGUCCUCAUGUUCUUCCCACAUAAUUUCUCUAAGGAGUGUCUAGAAUGUAUGAUCUGGGAACCAGUCCUUUUGGCCACCAUGCAUCACUGACUGUUUUUAAAUUUUCACUCUGAUAACAUUUCUGCUUCGAGGUGAUGCCUGUUUUUCUCUGCUGACACUAAGGGUAGCAGCCUGGCCUGUGUCUCUGGAAGCACCACUGCUGUAAAUGGCCUUGAUGACUGUGCUAAGCUUGUCGAUGCCCCCAGAGCUGUAUUAAGGUGCCAUCUCCAUUACUCAUGAGGCUACUGGUGCCAAUUUAGCUGCUGCUGCUCUUUUUGCAAGGUCCCAGGGGGAUUUUAGUAAACAGUUCAUUAUUGUAAAUAGUGAUGUAAGUACCCAUAUCCUUACACUUAAUAAAUGUUCAAUUGAACUAAAGAGUUAAGUCAUAUUACUUGGAUUCUUUAUUGUUUUUUGUUGGGAGAAUACAGAAGAUCUAAAUUAAGCAACUCUACAUAGGUGUUGCUAAAGUUGAAACAUUUAGUUUAUCAGGAAACUGACUAGACAAAUUAUUACAUAAGAGUGUCCACCUACGGAUGUUUCAAUCAGACUUUCCUUAGCAGGAAUUAAUGCUAUAUUUUGGUGAGCUAAAGUAUUUGACUUCCUUUCUAGUCUCUUCUAGAACAAUACAAGUAGAAGAAAAAAUAUUUUUUUCUCUAGAUUUCAAGGAUAACCUUAAUGAUGUCCCAGCCUAAAAAACAGGAGAUAAGAAACAAAGAUUGAAAAUUCAGAGAACAGGUUUUAAUCUUUAAUAUAAUUAGGUAGAUGGUUGGGAUUACAUUUAUUACACCAAUAUUUUGGGAUUAUUUAUGUGAAAUAGUUAUAUAUACUCACUGCCUUUUUGUCUGUUCUAAAGGUAAUGUGUCCCUUUCCAAGACUGAAGUUGAAAUGAAUGGGACAUGGAUGAAUCUGGAGAACAUCAUUCUCAGCAAACUGACACAAGAACAGAAAAUGAAUCACCGCAUAUUCUCACUCAUAGGAUUGGUGACCCUACAAGAAGAAGAAGAAAUGGAUCCUUCUCUUUCUCUGACCACGCACAAAUGAAAGGCCACGUGAGGACACAAAAAGAUGUCAGUCAACUGUAAGCCCCAAAGAGAGCCUCUACCAGAUCUGGACCAUGCUUAUAUCCUGAUCUCAGACCUUCAGCUUCCUGAACUGUGAGAAAUUUAAUUUCUGUUCUUCAAGCCACCCAGGCUGUGGUAUUUUGUUGUAGCAGCCUAAGCUGACCAAUUCGGGGUAUAAGAUGGCUUUCUCUCUAUUUCAACUAAAAGAGAAUCAAGAAAAUACUUUGUAGUAGGAGGAAAGUAAGUUAGACAUAUGUAGCAUGUAGGGAAAGAAUAUUGGUGUAGAAUGACAGUGUUGAGCUUCUAAUCUUGCUUCAGUCAUCUGUCUGUGUGAUCUUGUCUUGGGCAAGCUUUAAAAGAUGGAAGCCUUUUGGGCAUCUUAAUUUCCCAUUGUCCAAAAUAAAGAAAUUUCAGCAAAAUGUUUUUUCA